UAAACAUUUUAAAAGAAUAUAAUCAUUCUCUCUCUAUCUCUCUCUAUCUCUCUCCGCCUUUUCUUCCCUUACCAAAAUGAAAAAACACAGCAUCACUAAAUCUGCAAAAGGAAAUGCAAUUUGAUGCUCAGUUCAGAAAUGCGUUGCUCUAUACAUGCGGCAACCUGCAGCAUUUUGAUUUUCCUCUUGAAGUUGGAGUCCACCUUUUUGGGGGGAAACCAGGUGAUAGGAGAAAACUCUUACGAUGAGUGAGCUUCUUAAUUUGCGACGUAAAUUUGUUGAGAGGAUUCGAUGUUGAUUGGCCAAUUUUUGCAGAUUUAUACUGCAUUAUUCAAGAGAAGAAAUGUAAGAAUCUGGAAAUGAAAAGCAGCUGAAGCUUUUGAAGUACAAGAAAAGGAAAAACAAACACGUAUUUCCUUUGCUCUGGAUCUUGAGGGAAAAGCAUUUCUCUCUUGCCGCAUGGAAAAAACACAGAUUUUUUUUUCCAAAGUUUAAAAACAGAAUUGAUGUCGAUGACUUCAAGAUGAGUUCACAACUGUAGGGUUCCGUCUCCCUUGCCAAGAUUCGAGAGGAACAUAUUCAAGUUCUGCUCCGACACAUGGUGAUAUCUGAAUUAGUUUUUGAGAUUGAAUACAGCCCACCACCACGAAACUGGCUACAAACCAAAAGGUUCGGACCCGAGGAACCGAGGACCUCAGCAGUGAGAUAGCUGCUUCAGAGUCAUUAGA